rnacentral:rRNA from 1 species
UAGGGAAUCUUCCACAAUGGGCGCAAGCCUGAUGGAGCAACACCGCGUGAGUGAAGAAGGGUUUCGGCUCGUAAAGCUCUGUUGUUAAAGAAGAACACGUAUGAGAGUAACUGUUCAUACGUUGACGGUAUUAACCAGAAGUCACGGCUAACUACGUGCCAA